CUGGAAGUGAUGCAGAUCCUUGCACCUUGAUGCAAACUGAGAGUGCUUGUAUUCAUACUGUCUGAUCCAG
rnacentral:snoRNA from 1 species